rnacentral:rRNA from 1 species
AUGAUGUGCGGUUUCAGUACUACUAGCUGUGAGGAGGAGGAGGUUAGCCUUGAUGGCCAGGUGGUACCUCGGAAGGACACCUUUCGGUAUUUGGGGUCAAUGUUGCAGGAGGAUGGGGGUAUUGAUGAAGAUGUGAACCAUCGAAUCAAAGCCGGAUGGAUGAAGUGGCGCCAAGCUUCUGGCAUUCUCUGUGACAAGAGAGUGCCACAAAAGCUAAAAGGCAAGUUCUGCAGGACGGCGGUUCGACCCGCAAUGUUGUAUGGCGCGAGUGUUGGCCGACUAAAAGGCGACAUGUUCAACAGUUAG